GAUGAACGCUGGCGGCGUGCCUAAUACAUGCAAGUCGAGCGAACAGACGAGGAGCUUGCUCCUCUGACGUUAGCGGCGGACGGGUGAGUAACACGUGGAUAACCUACCUAUAAGACUGGGAUAACUUCGGGAAACCGGAGCUAAUACCGGAUAAUAUAUUGAACCGCAUGGUUCAAUAGUGAAAGACGGUUUUGCUGUCACUUAUAGAUGGAUCCGCGCCGCAUUAGCUAGUUGGUAAGGUAACGGCUUACCAAGGCAACGAUGCGUAGCCGACCUGAGAGGGUGAUCGGCCGAACUAGAAGUGAGACACGGUCCAGACUCCUAGGGGAGGCAGCAAUAGGGAAUCUUCCGCAAUAGACCAAAACCUAACGGAGCAACGCCGCGUGAGUGAUGAAGGGCUUCGGAUCGGAAAACUCUGUUAUUAGGGAAGAACAAAUGUGUAAGUAACUAUGCACGUCUUGACGGUACCUAAUCAGAAAGCCACGGCUAACUACGUG
rnacentral:rRNA from 1 species